AUUGAACGCUGGCGGCAUGCCUUACACAUGCAAGUCGAACGGCAGCACGGGAGCUUGCUCCUGGUGGCGAGUGGCGAACGGGUGAGUAAUACAUCGGAACGUACCCAGGAGUGGGGGAUAACGUAGCGAAAGUUACGCUAAUACCGCAUAUUCUGUGAGCAGGAAAGCGGGGGAUCGCAAGACCUCGCGCUCUUGGAGCGGCCGAUGUCGGAUUAGCUAGUUGGUGAGGUAAAAGCUCACCAAGGCGACGAUCCGUAGCAGGUCUGAGAGGAUGAUCUGCCACACUGGGACUGAGACACGGCCCAGACUCCUACGGGAGGCAGCAGUGGGGAAUUUUGGACAAUGGGGGCAACCCUGAUCCAGCCAUGCCGCGUGAGUGAAGAAGGCCUUCGGGUUGUAAAGCUCUUUCGGCGGGGAAGAAAUGGCAACGGCUAAUAUCCGUUGUUGAUGACGGUACCCGCAUAAGAAGCACCGGCUAACUACGUGCCAGCCGCCGCCGUAAAAC
rnacentral:rRNA from 1 species